rnacentral:rRNA from 1 species
AUUGAACGCUGGCGGCAUGCUUUACACAUGCAAGUCGAACGGUAACAGGCCGCAAGGUGCUGACGAGUGGCGAACGGGUGAGUAAUGCAUCGGAACGUGCCCAGUCGUGGGGGAUAACGCAGCGAAAGCUGCGCUAAUACCGCAUACGAUCUAUGGAUGAAAGCGGGGGACCGUAAGGCCUCGCGCGAUUGGAGCGGCCGAUGUCAGAUUAGGUAGUUGGUGGGGUAAAGGCUCACCAAGCCAACGAUCUGUAGCUGGUCUGAGAGGACGACCAGCCACACUGGGACUGGGACACGGCCCAGACUCCUACGGGAGGCAGCAGUGGGGAAUUUUGGACAAUGGGCGCAAGCCUGAUCCAGCAAUGCCGCGUGCUGGAAGAAGGCCUUCGGGUUGUAAACUGCUUUUGUACGGAACGAAACGGUCCGGGUUAAUACCCUGGGCUAAUGACGGUACCGUAAGAAUAAGCACCGGCUAACUACAUGCCAGCCGCCGCGGUAACAC